rnacentral:lncRNA from 1 species
CCGGUGUCGACUUACUAGCUGCAAGCCUCUGCCUGCCUUCCUGCGCGCCGUUCCCCGCUAGUCGCUGCUGCUGGCGCGCACUCGCCGGGUUUUUCCUCCCACGGCCUCGAGAUGGUGGUGAAUGUGGCACGGAGGAGCCGGGCCUUCCAACCCGGUGGGCCCGAGCUCCGAAAGGCCCCCUCGGCAGUGAGAGGGGCGGGAGCCCGCGGGGGCCGCGCCCUUCUCUCGCUUCGGACUGCGCAACGCUGCGCUCUGGGCUGACAGAUGAAGACUCUUAAGAUGACAGAAGGUGAUUUUUCUGGUGAUCGAGGACUUCCGGGGUAAUGACAGUGAUGAAAUGCAGGGGACCUGGUUGCCCCCAAGUUUCCUGGCAGUGUGUGAUACUGAGGAGGUGAGCUUGUUUCUGGAGCUGUGCUUUAAGAUUCAUGUUACAUGUAAAGCUGUCCUCAUUUGUGACUAUGGACCUAUGGAGUUGGGACAAUCUCUAUGGGAAGCAGAAGGCAAGGACCCCGGUCAUUUUAGGUAGAAACAACAGCAUGCUAAUGCAAAAAAUUAUGCAGUGUGCUACUGAACUUCAGAGGUGAUCAAUAAAAGAAGAAUAAAAAGACUAA